GUUGGCUGCCUGGCCUGCUGGAUUGGGCCUGGUCUGCUGUUGGCCUGCUGCUGGGGGGCUGCUGCUGUUUUUUUUUGGGUUGUUGUUUUGGGCUUCUGCAACGGGUGGGGUCGGUUCUGCGAGGCUGGGUCGAGUCAGUCGGGUCGGGUUGACCCGACUGUGAUAUUUUUUUCUAUUUUUCUUCUAUUUUUUCUUUUUUCUUCCUUUUUCUUCUUUCCUUUUUUCUUUUUCUUCUUCGGGCUGAACCUUGCCCUUUUGCGCCGUCAACGACGCUCCCUCCGCCCGGUGGUGCGGUGGUCGGCGCGCCCCCCUUCUCUUCCUCUCUCUCUCUUUUCUUUCUUGUCUUUUUUCUUUUUUUUCUUCUCUUCUUUCUUUUUGGCUGCUUUUUUUUACUAUUUUUAUAUUUUUUGCUUGUUGCUUUGUUUUGCUAGGUGUUGGCGAUGGUGGUGUAGGGCGGUGGACACGGUGGCGCUGCGACGACGGUGGCUGCCGGAGGAAUCGGCCGAAUUCUAAAUUUUUUUAGAGUUUCUUUGCUCUUCUGCUUUUUUUUCUUUUUUGCUUUUUUUCUUUAGUUCCUAUGCCAAAAAAA
rnacentral:lncRNA from 1 species